UGAAGGCUACCCGUGUAUACAUGUGUGAACCAUUUCUUGUGUUGGAAAAACAGGAGACCUGAAGAGCUCUUGAUGCUUUUGGUUUGCCUCAUCCAUUAUGUCAGCAAAGAACAGGAGUGGGCAGGAAACAUGCGCUGUUGAAAACAUGGCCAACCAACUGGAGCACCCACAAGGCUCUUGUGAAGGAAGUCCACAAGCCUUUGUGCUUCAGUUUGGAGACACCCCCGGCUGGUAGUGCUGCUGAAACUGGUGGAGGC